CACGUAGUUAGCCGGAGCUUCCUCCCCAGGUACCGUCAUUUUCGUCCCUGGGGACAGUGGUUUACAAUCCAGAGGACCGUCUUCCCACACGCGGCGUCGCUGCAUCAGGGUUUCCCCCAUUGUGCAAUAUCCCCCACUGCUGCCUCCCGUAGGAGUCUGGGCCGUGUCUCAGUCCCAAUGUGGCCGUUCAACCUCUCAGUCCGGCUACCGAUCGUCGGCUUGGUGAGCCGUUACCUCACCAACUACCUAAUCGGACGCGAGCCCAUCUUCGAGCGAUAAAUCUUUGAUACCAGCAGGAUGUCCUCCCAGUAUGUUAUGCGGUAUUAGCGACCGUUUCCAGCCGUUAUUCCCCUCUCGAAGGCAGGUUGCUCACGUGUUACUCACCCGUCCGCCACUAAACUAUACCGAAAUCCAUCCGAAAACUUCUUCCAGUAUAGUCCCGUUCGACUUGCAUGUGUUAGGCGCGCCGCCAGCGUUCGUCCUGAGCCAGGAUCAAACUCU
rnacentral:rRNA from 1 species